rnacentral:lncRNA from 1 species
CCCAGUCUAUGCAUCCUGGGCUCUGUCCCUAAGAGGAAGCCAGACCUUUCUGCUCACCAACUCGUCCCCCUGCACCUUCCUGAUUGAAGCCACAUUCCACGUCAUGCCUGUACAUCUUCCCCUCGCCCUUCAGACCCAGGCCUUUUUUCAAAAUGGUCACAGGGUUCAACUCAGCCUAACUGGACACAGGCCUGGUCCCUGCAGCAUCGAAGAAGCCAGGGGUAGCAUCUUUGGCCAAGUCACCCACUGACCCCCACGGCCUGGCAACUUUUGUGCUUCCCACCUGCAUGUCACCUCUGGGGGUCCCUUCCCUCCAAGAACGUUGCCAUCAGGUGGUCUUUCUGAUUUCCUCUGCUUCAGCAAAGGCCUUAUUUUUUACUCAAGAGCCUGGCUUCCUGAUCUGCACAAAAGAGACUCUCCAGAUGUGUCCUGGAAAAUCCCCCAAAAGUAGGGGGAAAGGUCCCAGUCAAAGCCAAAGCAAGGAAGAGGAAAAAGAGGAAGGAGGAAACUGUCA